rnacentral:lncRNA from 1 species
UGACGUGGCCAUUCUUUAGGAUGUUUGAGGUGAGUUGGUAAAUCAUAAAUUUCAAAGUAAUGAAUACAACCAUCCAUAUUUUCGACAUUCUAAUGUCCUUAACUUCUCAUUUUAUAUAAUUUUUAGUCACUCACCCAAAAAUCUAGAAAUCCAUCGAAAAAAUUGGAGUAUAAUAGUCAAGAAGAUGGUUCCAAAGGUAUACACUACAACUUCAUCGCAAUACCACCAUCCUUCUGGUAGUGGACAUAACUGAAUUGACCAGCCAUGAAAACAUAACUGAGGUGACAAGGCAGAAAGCAGAAUACAAUUUCCUUCAGAGACUGCAUAUUCAGUCAAUAUUUAAACCUAAAGCUGAAGGUUAACAAAUUAUAUCCCAUAGAAAUUAAACGUUUUAAUCCAUUAGACAUGAAAAAAUGUAGCAUAUUUUCAAUUGGGUGCAGGUUGAUCAGAUCCAUUGCUAUAGAUGCUCAGUUUCAGAAGAUAUAUGAUAACAAAUAAAAGGAAAAGGAAAAAAUGGUAUCAAGAAUUGGGCUGCUUUUGGGUGGCAUUUUCUAAAGCAACUAUGAGGCACAGUUAAUCAUGAAACAGCACCAAACUGGAGUUAAUAUAAGCAAUGAUUUGGAGAUAUUGGGACAAAUCAGUUUCCAGAAACAUACUGUUUAACUUCGAAAUACCAAGAGACCUAGAAAAGAUUAUCUUUGAGGUCAAACAUACAACACAAUGGGGAUGUUAUGCACCUGUAGUUAUUAAAAGCAAGGAAUGCAAAGAGAUGAUUGAAUAAUAUUUAGCCUAGACUAAAAUGGCAAUUACUACUCCAUUUUGGCAAGAGGGACUCAACAAAAGUUUUAAAUCUUAGUACUUAAUAGAGGAAAAUCUUGGAUGACUGAGAAACUAGACCUUAAACACCUUCCAAAUAAACCAAAAUUAUCACAAGAAAAAGACAUUUUAGGACAGCAAAAUAACAAUUUCAACCACUAGAAGAGUUUAAAGGGUGGUUCGUACCUAGGCGUUGUUUGUCUAUGUCAACAUCCAAAAAUACUUUAUGGGUGAUUUCAUAAACCUCUUCCACUUUAGCUUCCUCCUGGAAAGAAACAAAAUAUUUGCUUUUACGAAGGCAAACAGCAGAAAAUUUGAAGAGAUAUUAUUUAAUUGAAAAAAUGAUCCAUAGAAUGUGGCAUCAGGCAAUUUAUUUG